rnacentral:rRNA from 1 species
AGUGAACGCUGGCGGUAGGCCUAACACAUGCAAGUCGAACGGCAGCACAGUAAGAGCUUGCUCUUACGGGUGGCGAGUGGCGGACGGGUGAGGAAUACAUCGGAAUCUACUUUUUCGUGGGGGAUAACGUAGGGAAACUUACGCUAAUACCGCAUACGACCUACGGGUGAAAGCAGGGGAUCUUCGGACCUUGCGCGAUUGAAUGAGCCGAUGUCGGAUUAGCUAGUUGGCGGGGUAAAGGCCCACCAAGGCGACGAUCCGUAGCUGGUCUGAGAGGGUGAUCAGCCACACUGGAACUGAGACACGGUCCAGACUCCUACGGGAGGCAGUAGUGGGGAAUAUUGGACAAUGGGCGCAAGCCUGAUCCAGCCAUACCGCGUGGGUGAAGAAGGCCUUCGGGUUGUAAAGCCCUUUUGUUGGGAAAGAAAAGCAGCAGGUUAAUACCCCGCUGUUCUGACGGUACCCAAAGAAUAAGCACCGGCUAACUUCGUG